UGAGGAAUAUUGCGCAAUGGGCGAAAGCCUGACGCAGCAACGCCGCGUGGAGGACGAAGGCCUUCGGGUCGUAAACUCCUUUUCUGGGGAACGAGGAAGGACGGUACCUCAGGAAUAAGUCUCGGCUAACUACGUGCCAGCAGCCGCGGUAAAACGUAGGAGGCGAGCGUUAUCCGGAUUUACUGGGCGUAAAGCGCACGCAGGUGGCUCUGUAAGUCGGACAUGAAAGCUCCUGGCUUAACUGGGAGAGGCUGUUCGAUACUGCGGGGCUUGAGGUUGGGAGAGGGACGUGGAAUUCCCGGUGUAGUGGUGGAAUGCGUAGAUAUCGGGAGGAACACCAGUGGCGCAAGCGGCGUCCUGGCCCACACCUGACGCUGAGGUGCGAAAGCGUGGGGAGCAAACAGG
rnacentral:rRNA from 1 species